rnacentral:piRNA from 1 species
UUGGCUAGAAACAAAAUGAAAAG